rnacentral:lncRNA from 1 species
NNNNNNNNNNNNNNNNNNNNGGUGGAGAUGUACGACCUGGCGGUGGGCUGCGCCCUGUGCCGGCCGCCCGGCGCCGCCGCCGCCUGGCUGCUGCAGCCCAGCGAGCCCGAGGAACGCCGCGCUGCCGCCCGCCUCACCGUGGCCCUGCUGCCCUCCCUCAACCAGGUGUCGGGGCUGCUGGGCGGCGGGCAAGGCGGCCCCCCCGACAGCUGGGCCCAGGCCCUGCGCCUCGGCCUCGAUGGCUGCCACCGCCUCUACCCCGUGCUGCGGCAGAGCCUCCUGCGCGCUGCCCGGCGCCGGGCCACCCCCUCUACUGCCUGAGCCUGCGCAGAGGGUCCCCGGGGCCGCACUGCCGGAGACCCCCAAGCCCAGCGGCGUUGGCCCUGUAUUGCUGGAGCCCCCUGGAUUCGUCUCCCUGCACCGCCGGAGACCCACAGAGCCUGCCUCAGCAGUCUCCUGCGCUGCCGGAGACCUCUCUGGAGCUGCCCCAUGCUGCCUGAGCCCACUGGAGCCCUCCCGAGCAGCUGCCUGCACUGCCAGAGACCCCCAGAGCCUUUCUGAGCAACCCCUUGCAUCACCGGAGACCUCCCAGAGCCCCCCUGAGCACCCCAGGUCGUGUCUGAGCAGCCCAUCCGUAUUGCUAGAGGCCCCCCCACCUCGAGGGGCCUUCACACCACCUGAGCCCCCUACACUACUUCAGUGGCCCCCGCAUGGCCUGAGCCCCCCAAAAGCAGCCUCCACACAUUGCCUGAGCGGCUGCAGAGCGGCCCCCAUACCACCUCAGCUGUCAGAGCCUGCCUGUGCCACCCCCUACACCACUGGAGCCCACCUGGGCCCCCCAAGGGACUGCCUACACUGCCAAGAUCAGCUGCCUGAACCACUGGAUUCCCCCAAGAGCAUCCCCCCACCUGCUGGAGCCCCACAGUCGGCCACCCACACUGCUGGAGCCGACUGGAAUCUACCAGGCCACCCCUGGACUCACCAAGGCCCAGACCCUGGAGGUGGCCCCAGUGCUGAUGAUGAGACUGCCGUGUCCAGCCUGCCCGCUACCAACGCCCCACCACAACCAUCCAUGCAACAGGGCUCCAGCAGCCCCUGGCAGGAACCAUGUACCACUACAGCCUGUGCGUCGCUUGGACUUCACAGUGACUUGCCUGGACAGUGCUUCAGGGUGGUGGAGAGACAUAUUUUGGUUUGUUUGUUUGUUUUUUACAAUAAAUCAGGCUUUUCUGGUGAAUCUUCUGCCUGCUUGGGUCUGCCAGCAGUGGACAGAUGUUGAAGGAUGUGCUCAUUUGCCCUGGUGCCCUGCGUUGCUAGCCCAUGGCUACUUGCCCGACUGACCGCCAGGCAG